rnacentral:lncRNA from 1 species
CUCUCACAGGCACAGUAAGGUGAGAGUUUGUCGGGAAAAAGUACUCCAAAAUUAAAACCAUGUAAAAGCACAAAGAGAAAUCGAAUCAUCAAAAUAAAUUAAUAAAUGCACAUAUACUCAAACCAUACGCACGAUAUAGACAUAAAUAAAUGUAAAUCCUAACCUGGACUUGCCAGGAUGAAAGGAGAGCCAACGGUAGCGACCAGAGAAGCGGGAAUCGACGUGCUCGAUUAGCGCCGAAUGAGAAAUCGUGGGCGGCAAGUGCCGCAGCACCACCUUCGUUCGAUCUAGCGGACCCUUCAUGCAAAACAAAACCCUAACACAAUCGUAAGUUAAUAAUAAAUAUACUCAAUUUGCCUCAAAUUUCUGCUAAAUUACUCCUUUAAUGCCCUCGGAUUACAUCUUUAACAAAGUUUUCAGCAUUAAUCGGCGAUUAAUUCUUUUGUGCCCUAAUUUUGGAAAUUAGAUUUCGAAUGACCGUGCACAAAAAGAUAGAGAAUGUAGAGUCAAAGAACUUCAAAAUUAUGAACUGAAGAAAGCGACGGAGGACUUGUGC